GAUGAACGCUGGCGGCGUGCCUAAUACAUGCAAGUCGAGCGAACGGACGAUAAGCUUUCUUCUCUGAUGUUAGCGGCUGACGGGUGAGUAACACGUGGAUAACCUACCUAUAAGACUGGGAUAACUUCGGGAAACCGGAGCUAAUACCGGAUAAUAUUUUGAACCGCAUGGUUCAAAAGUGAAAGACGGUCUUGCUGUCACUUAUAGAUGGAUCCGCGCUGCAUUAGCUAGUUGGUAAGGUAACGGCUUACCAAGGCAACGAUGCAUAGCCGACCUGAGAGGGUGAUCCGCCACACUGGAACUGAGACACGGUCCAGACUCCUACGGGAGGCAGCAGUAGGGAAUAUUCCGCAAUGGGCGAAAGCCUGACGGAGCAACGCCGCGUGAGUGAUGAAGGUCUUCGGAUCGUAAAACCCUGUUAUUAGGGAAGAACAUAUGUGUAAGUAACUGUGGACAUCUUGACGGUACCUAAUCAGAAAGCCACGGCUAACUACGUG
rnacentral:rRNA from 1 species